rnacentral:rRNA from 1 species
AUUGAACGCUGGCGGCAUGCCUAACACAUGCAAGUCGAACGGUAACGCGAAGAGCUUGCUCUUUGGCGACGAGUGGCGGACGGGUGAGUAAUGCUUAGGAAUCUGCCCAGUAGUGGGGGACAACUCGGGGAAACUCGAGCUAAUACCGCAUACGACCUACGGGUGAAAGCAGGGGAUCGUUUUAGACCUUGCGCUAUUGGAUGAGCCUAAGUCGGAUUAGCUUGUUGGUGAGGUAAAGGCUCACCAAGGCGACGAUCCGUAGCUGGUCUGAGAGGACGAUCAGCCACACUGGGACUGAGACACGGCCCAGACUCCGUACGGGAGGCAGCAGGUGGGGAAUAUUGGACAAUGGGGGCAACCCUGAUCCAGCAAUGCCGCGUGUGUGAAGAAGGCCUGCGGGUUGUAAAGCACUUUCAGUAGAGAAGAAAAGCCUACGGUUAAUACCCGUGAGUCUUGACGUAACCUACAGAAGAAGCACCGGCUAACUCCGUG